GGGGUUGUAGCUCAGCUGGGAGAGCGCUUGUCUGGCAGACAAGAGGUCACGGGUUCGAGCCCCGUCAACUCCACCA
rnacentral:tRNA from 2 species